UACGGAGGGGGCUAGCGUUGUUCGGAAUCACUGGGCGUAAAGGGCGCGUAGGCGGUCUCUUAAGCGUGUGGUGAAAGCCCGGGGCUCAACUCCGGGUCGGCCGUGCGAACUGGGGGACUGGAGCUUGUCAGAGGCAGGCGGAAUUCCGGGUGUAGCGGUGGAAUGCGUAGAGAUCCGGAAGAACACCGGUGGCGAAGGCGGCCUGCUGGGCAGUUUGCUGACACUGAGGCGCGACAGCGUGGGGAGCAACAGG
rnacentral:rRNA from 1 species